GCCUCUAUGGCGUAGUGGUAGCGCGUGUCACUUGUAUGCUAGAAGUGCAAGAUUAUGACAAGGUCUCUCGUUCGAUCCGGGAUGGAGGCA